UACGAAGGGGGCUAGCGUUGCUCGGAAUCACUGGGCGUAAAGCGCACGUAGGCGGAUUGCUAAGUCAGGGGUGAAAUCCUGGAGCUCAACUCCAGAACUGCCUUUGAUACUGGUGAUCUUGAGUUCGGGAGAGGUGAGUGGAACUGCGAGUGUAGAGGUGAAAUUCGUAGAUAUUCGCAAGAACACCAGUGGCGAAGGCGGCUCACUGGCC
rnacentral:rRNA from 1 species